CUACCUGUGUGUUUCAGAGUCUCACCAGAGGGGGGGCAGCCAAGCCAGGACCAGCUCUGCAGGGGCCCUGGGUGACGAGCUGGACACGACUCACAUGGAGAUGCUGACGAGGAUCUGCAGGACACACCAGCGAUCUACGCUCCGAGACAAGAAGAGCAUAACUGUGGACAAAGCUCUACGGGACAGCCUGAUCUCCAGGAAGCCAACUGUGGAGAGGAAGCUGAACACGGUGCCACUUUCAUGCUGCACAGGUGAGUGGAGACCAGCCUGGGCCGUCUCGCUUUCGCAAUCCUUCCGGAACGUCUCGAGGUUUUGGGCGACUUAUUGAAUGUGUCUCUGCGUGACACGUCAGUAGUGAACAUCGUGAACAUCGUGAUGCCGUUCCCCAGUUGCUGAUGUUACGAGUCUAGUUUAUGGUCAUCUCAUCACGUCCCGUCUUUUGUGCAUAUUUUGUUUAGAAGAAGAGAUGAAGGAUUUUAGAAAGUUGUGUGUAAAGUAGUUGAUUUGCUUUUAAAGCAGAGGGAUUUUUGCAGCAGACUUUUGUUUUUGGCCUGAAUCAUGGUAAAGCACCUGUUUUAUUGGGUAGCGAGUUGCCUUCAAGAAACUCGUGUCAAUUUUUUGCUGCUGUUGCUGCUGGGCAUGUUUUGCACGUGAACAGAAUCACCUCCCCCUCCACGAAACUCGGUUCCUGGGCCGUCCCGUGAUCUCUUUCAGUUCCUGGGCCGUCCCGUGAUCUCAUUCGGUUCCUGGGCCGUCCCGUGAUCUCUUUCGGUUCCUGGGCCGUCCCGUGAUCUCAUUCGGUUCCUGGGCCGUCCCGUGAUCUCUUUC